UACGGGGGGGGGCAAGCGUUGUUCGGAAUUACUGGGCGUAAAGGGCGCGUAGGCGGCCAUCUAAGUCAGACGUGAAAUCCCUCGGCUCAACCGAGGAACUGCGUCUGAUACUGGAUGGCUUGAGUUCGGGAGAGGGAUGCGGAAUUCCAGGUGUAGCGGUGAAAUGCGUAGAUAUCUGGAGGAACACCGGUGGCGAAGGCGGCAUCCUGGACCGAUACUGACACUGAGGAGCGAAAGCCAGGGGAGCAAACGGG
rnacentral:rRNA from 1 species